GAGGCGUGGACUGUGAGUAAAAGGGGAAUGCCAACAACCCAGGUAAAUCUGAUGUCUUUACCGAGUCUGGGAAUUGGUACUGCUGAGCCCAAGCCUGUGAACGACCUGCCGUGGAUCAGUCAGCCCAGACUAGAUGAUGAGUGGUCUGGACUCAACGGUGGUUCUGUGGACACCAGUUCUGACUGGAACGCCCC